rnacentral:rRNA from 1 species
UACAGAGGCCCCAAGCGUUAGGCGGAAUCACUGGGCUUAAAGCGUGUGUAGGCGGACGCCUAAGUGUCUUGUGAAAUCCCACGGCUCACCCGUGGAACUGCUGGGCAUACUGGGCGUCUUGGGCCAACUAGGGGCAGCCGGAACAAGCGGUGGAGCGGUGAAAUGCGUAGAUAUCGCUUGGAACGCCGAAGGUGAAAACAGGCUGCUGGGGUUGUGCCGACGCUGAGACACGAAAGCCAGGGGAGCAAGCGGG